rnacentral:rRNA from 1 species
GCAGUCGACGAGACUUGUCUAGUAGCAAUACCGGACAAGUCUAGUGGCGCACGGGUGAGUAACACGUGAGCAACCUGCCCUGAAGUGGGGGAUAGCUUGCCGAAAGGCAAAUUAAUACCGCAUGUGGUGGUAACACUAAAGCAGCAAUGCGCUUCAGGAUGGGCUCGCGGCCUAUCAGCUUGUUGGUAAGGUAACGGCUUACCAAGGCUACGACGGGUAACUGAUUUGAGAGGAUGAUCAGUCACACUGGAACUGAGACACGGUCCAGACACCUACGGGUGGCAGCAGUCGAGAAUCAUUCGCAAUGGGGGAAACCCUGACGGUGCGACGCCGCGUGGAGGAUGACGGCCUUAGGGUUGUAAACUCCUGUCAUGAGGGAGCAAAGCUCUUCGGAGCCUGAUAGUACCUCAAGAGGAAGGAACGGCAAACUCUGUGCCAGCAGCCGCGGUAAUACAGAGGUUCCAAGCGUUGUUCGGAUUCAUUGGGCGUAAAGGGUGCGUAGGUGGCGUGGUAAGUCAAAUGUGAAAUUUCGGAGCUCAACUCCGAACUGCAUUCGAUACUGCCAUGCUAGAGGACUGGAGAGGAGAUUGGAAUUCACGGUGUAGCAGUGAAAUGCGUAGAUAUCGUGAGGAAGACCAGUGGCGAAGGCGGAUCUCUGGACAGUUCCUGACGCUGAGGCACGAAGGCUAGGGUAGCGAACGGGAUUAGAUACCCUGGUA